rnacentral:piRNA from 1 species
UGGCUGCUUGAUCAGUUAGUUGGU